GACAUGUAGGACAAAUCCUCAUUCAGACUGUUGUGACAUUGUGAGAAUGAUAUUUGCAUGUGAAAAUGUGUUAUUGUCAGUUCAAUGGACCUUGUCUGCACACCUUAAGUGAAAGAGUGAAAUUCUACUGGAAGCAACUGAUUUGUCUUUUUAUAAGUGGUCAAUGUGUUUAUGCACUUAUGUGUGGCUAGGAACAUGUAAAUAUAUAUUAUACUGUAACAGAAUCUUACAUGGUACAUGCUUACAUGGUAUUGUUUACUUAAGCUAGCAUUUUCUUUAUUUGUACAUUUUAGCCAAUUUUCAAAGGACCAAUUACUAUUUUAAGAGAGAAAUAAAGGGACUAGUAUAAUAUCAAGGUUUAAAAUAAUUGCUACAGAAAACAACGGUAUUACAUUACAUUGCUUUUUACCUGUUCAUUAACACUCUAGUAAUACUAGAGUACAAGUAAUACUUGUAGUCCCUUGUCACUUAACUUAACUUUAACUAUUGCUUGCAAGUAAUGUUGAAGUUACUUGCCCCUACUGUAAAACUGCAAUAAAAUUACUUUGUAAUUUGAACUACACAAUUUAUGUUGGAAGUACAUUUACAUUUAUGCAAGUAUGUUCUUAAGUGAUAUUUACCCUAUUGUAUUUUGUACUGCAUUAAUACUAAAAUCAAAAAAUGUAAGUCCACAAUGAACUUUUAACCCUGUACAACCUAAAUAUAUUUUGCUCCACUGUUACUGAAAAUGACCUGCAGAUCCAAGGAAAUGGGAUAACUAAAAUAUCCAAUGUGGACAUUUAACAAAAUAUAUAUACUUUAUAAGAGGGAGCAUACUAAAACACCAGUUGUCAGUCUUGAGGACUUAAGUCUUGAGCAUUUUACGUGCUGCCUUUAUGUGGUAACACGGCCCAGAGCAACUCAAAAAGCAACUCUUUCCCAUCAGCCAUAGGGUUCCAGUUUAGAUUCAUCAAACAGAUGUUUUUACUUCGAGCAUGGCUAGGCACACCCAAACAAACCACAUUGCAGGGUGACUGAACUGUAAUUGUCAGUUUCAAACUAUACAUAAUUAAAUGAAAGGCAGAAGGGCUGAUGGAGUAUUUUGAAAUAAGAAAGCUUUAGAUUUAGACUUUUAGAUAUGAGUUAAUGUCAGGAGAGGAUCAUUGCCUUUGACUGCACAAAUGCCUAGUUAUCCAUAGUCAAGACUGCAUUAUGUUCAGGUUGUGGUCCUGCUUGCGAACCAAAUUGGUCAAAAUCUCUUGACAGAUUGAGGACAAUAAGAUAAAUGUGAACAUGUUUGUUUUACAUAGCAAAAUCUUUUUGCAUUGAAACAUAAAAACAGCUACAAUGUGGCACAGAAACCUCUAAGCAAUGCUACCAGACCUUGCUAAUUCUAAGCAGUCAGACUAAAUGUAAUGUCCAUUUUAAUAAAACUAUCAGAAUUAAAGUGCCAGAGAGUCAGAUAAACCAGAAAGUGUGAAUCUAUCAAUCAUAGAAGGUGUGUCCCAUGAUAUACAAACAAAUCUGUAAACUGUUUAUAAUGUGAGACAAUAAUCUACACAGGUCAAAAUGAAAACUAGCGCCCUCCGUGGGAAACUACAAACAAAGCAGGCAGCAGCUGUGUACAAAGCAAUAGGAAGGCUUGUGUACAAAUGGUCACUUCUGGGAAACAAACCCAUUGGACAAGGAUUUACAACCCUGUAGCCAAUUAGAGCUCUGGAUAGCUCCUUAGCAAGUGGGAGCUCAUGUUUCAAAGUACAGCUGCCAGAAAGCCAAGCAGGUUGGUUGUCAGAAGUGUUUGAACCCUAGAGUAAGAGGACAUGAUCCUUCGUUGGACCCCUCCAGGUUGACAGCUAGACAUCAUAGCCAUCCAGGGUUAGCAAUCGGAUUGUUUUCUUUUGACAACCCUGAGCACAGUUCAGAUGGGAGGAGCCAGGGUGGGAGGAGCCAGAGUGGAGGAAGAGGAAGACGUCAUGGCAGGGCCACUUCUCUCCUGACCUUAGAGUUCUACAACCACCAUCCUGAGGGGAUCCCUGGUCAGCCUGUUCUUGUUUGUAAGGCCAUACAACACACUCAGCCCUCAGUAGGCCUUCCCUGUUGUCCCCCCGAGAGAGAGAAGCAGAGCUGAUGGUAAACUGGUUACAACGUGUGGGAUGAUGAGUGUCCAAAGAAAAGGUUUCCCAUUUUGUCUUUUUUUGUGUGCCCUCUUGUGCCCAGGAAACUGAUAUUUCUGGUUUCCCCCCUGUGCCCUCUCCCACACCCAGAGAAAGGACAUAAUUGUUGGUUGAUGUAAUAGAGACCUAACCCUAACCCAGCACGUGAGCUAAGCUAAGGCUAAAGAUACACCAUCAUGUCUGGGAUACUGAUUUAAGCUGUUCAAUAAACUCAAUGGACCACUAAGAGGUACUUUGAGCCUCAUGGAUGCUAGGGUUGGUGGGAGCCCUUGUGACUGGUUGGUGGCAAAAUUACAGGGUCCCCAAAGCAACCCUCCUCUUUCCGAGAAGGAAGUGUAGCAGUGCUGAAGAGUGGCGUUCAUGGAAACAGAGGUUGAAACGUAAAUCGGCACACCCACAAAUGCAUAGCUAGCGCCAUACAUUUGCC